UACGGGGGGGGCAAGCGUUGUUCGGAAUUACUGGGCGUAAAGGGCUCGUAGGUGGCCAACUAAGUCAGACGUGAAAUCCCUCGGCUUAACCGGGGAACUGCGUCUGAUACUGGAUGGCUUGAGUUCGGGAGAGGGAUGCGGAAUUCCAGGUGUAGCGGUGAAAUGCGCAGAUAUCAGGAGGAACACCAGUGGCGAAGGCGGUGCUCUGGGCCGGAACUGACGCUGAGGAGCGAAAGCGUGGGGAGCAAACAGG
rnacentral:rRNA from 1 species